UGACACUGAACAUUGAGCCUUGAUGUGUAGGAUAGGUGGGAGGCUUUGAAGUGUGGACGCCAGUCUGCAUGGAGCCGACCUUGAAAUACCACCCUUUAAUGUUUGAUGUUCUAACGUUGACCCGUAAUCCGGGUUGCGGACAGUGUCUGGUGGGUAGUUUGACUGGGGCGGUCUCCUCCUAAAGAGUAACGGAGGAGCACGAAGGUUGGCUAAUCCUGGUCGGACAUCAGGAGGUUAGUGCAAUGGCAUAAGCCAGCUUGACUGCGAGCGUGACGGCGCGAGCAGGUGCGAAAGCAGGUCAUAGUGAUCCGGUGGUUCUGAAUGGAAGGGCCAUCGCUCAACGGAUAAAAGGUACUCCGGGGAUAACAGGCUGAUACCGCCCAAGAGUUCAUAUCGACGGCGGUGUUUGGCACCUCGAUGUCGGCUCAUCACAUCCUGGGGCUGAAGUAGGUCCCAAGGGUAUGGCUGUUCGCCAUUUAAAGUGGUACGCGAGCUGGGUUUAGAACGUCGUGAGACAGUUCGGUCCCUAUCUGCCGUGGGCGCUGGAGAACUGAGGGGGGCUGCUCCUAGUACGAGAGGACCGGAGUGGACGCAUCACUGGUGUUCGGGUUGUCAUGCCAAUGGCACUGCCCGGUAGCUAAAUGCGGAAGAGAUAAGUGCUGAAAGCAUCUAAGCACGAAACUUGCC
rnacentral:rRNA from 1 species